AUUGAACGCUGGCGGCAGGCCUAACACAUGCAAGUCGAACGAGUGGCGGACGGGUGAGUAAUGUCUGGGAAACUGCCUGAUGGAGGGGGAUAACUACUGGAAACGGUAGCUAAUACCGCAUACCAUCAGAUGUGCCCAGAUGGGAUUAGUUAGUUGGUGGGGUAACGGCUCACCAAGGCGACGAUCCCUAGCUGGUCUGCGAGGAUGCCAAGCCAGACUGGAACUGAGACACGGUCCAAGCUCCUACGGGAGGCAGCAGUGGGUAAGAUGGGCAAAUGGGCGCAAGCCUGAUGCAGCCAUGCCGCGUGUAUGAAGAAGGCCCUCGGGUUGUAAAGGACUUUAAGCGGGGAGGCGUUACCCGCAGAAGAAGCACCGGCUAACUCCGUGCCAGCAGCCGCGGUAAUUC
rnacentral:rRNA from 1 species